GUUUAAAUAGCUUAAAUAAAGCGUAGUUUUGAAGAUACUAAGAUAAUUUUUAAAAUUUUUAAACA
rnacentral:tRNA from 1 species